rnacentral:misc_RNA from 1 species
CACGAAGCGUACAGCGCCCCCGGUAGUCUGACCUCGAACUAGGCCAAUGAUAAGGAAACGAGUUACUGCCGGCGGCAACUGUCUUAUCGAUUAACCGAAAGCCAGCGGCGAUAUUGUUCUUGUUGGCACCACCGCGCGGGAAACACCUCGAGCCAGCUGUCCAACUUACACUCUGACUUUUUCCCUUUUCGCUUCCUUUUCUCAUUCUAGGUUGAUUCGCGUCAUGGAGAAUUGGAGUGGAACGCGUCACUUUUGUGCAACCUUCGUGCUUCAACUUCUUAAAGAAAAUGAAUCUGAAUGAAGCUUGCUCUUAUAAUACCUUGAUGCACUGUUCUAAAUAAGUUUACGGAUGCGAGUUUAAAUCUCUCGCGUGUUUCGCGAUGCUAUAUCUUCGGAACUGGAUGAUUUUGAUGAAUUC